rnacentral:rRNA from 1 species
CCUACGGGAGGCUGCAGUAGGGAAUAUUGCUCAAUGGGCGAAAGCCUGAAGCAGCAACGCCGCGUGGAGGAUGAAGGUUUUCUGAUUGUAAACUCCUUUUGUCAGGGAAGAUAAUGACCGUAUCUAACGAAUAAGCACCGGCUAACGCCGAGCCAGCACGCGCGGUCAUACGGCGGGUGCACGCGUGACUCGGAAUCACUGGGCGUAAAGAGCGUGUAUGCGGGAUACCAAGUCAGAUGUUAAAUCCUAGGGUUUAAACAGAGAACUGCCUUUGAAACUGUGAGUCUUGAGUAUGCAAGAGGUAGGUGGAAUUCUUGGUGUAGGGGUGAAAUCCGUAGAGAUCAAGAGGAAUACUGAUUGCGAAGGCGACCUGCUGGCACAUAACUGACGCUGAUGCGCGAAAGCGUGGGGAGCAAACAGGAUUAGAUACCCCAGUAGUC